rnacentral:lncRNA from 1 species
UUUGGAGUCCACUUGCCCCUGAAAUCGGGCGCGAAAGACAAGACUUUCUUGAGCACAAGGUCACCUUCUCGGAAUACACGAGGCUUGACCUUCUUAUCGAAUGCUUUCUUCAUUCUCUGCUGAUAUAACUGACCAUGGCACAUGGCAGUCAAUCUCUUCUCUUCGAUCAAAUUCAGCUGGUCAUAACGACUCUGAAUCCAUUCAGCAUCAGUCAACUUGGGGUCUGAGGGCGCCAUUUUUUUCUUUUCUUUUUUUUAUUUUUUUUUAUU